rnacentral:rRNA from 1 species
UGGGGAAUUUUGGACAAUGGGCGAAAGCCUGAUCCAGCAAUGCCGCGUGUGUGAAGAAGGCCUUCGGGUUGUAAAGCACUUUUGUCCGGAAAGAAAUCCUUGGCUCUAAUACAGUCGGGGGAUGACGGUACCGGAAGAAUAAGCACCGGCUAACUACGUGCCAGCAGCCGCGGUAAUACGUAGGGUGCAAGCGUUAAUCGGAAUUACUGGGCGUAAAGCGUGCGCAGGCGGUUUGCUAAGACCGAUGUGAAAUCCCCGGGCUCAACCUGGGAACUGCAUUGGUGACUGGCAGGCUAGAGUAUGGCAGAGGGGGGUAGAAUUCCACGUGUAGCAGUGAAAUGCGUAGAGAUGUGGAGGAAUACCGAUGGCGAAGGCAGCCCCCUGGGCCAAUACUGACGCUCAUGCACGAAAGCGUGGGGAGCAAACAGGAUUAGAUACCCUGGUAGUCCACGCCCUAAGCGAUGUCAACUAGUUGUUGGGGAUUCAUUUCCUUAGUAACGUAGCUAACGCGUGAAGUUGACCGCCUGGGGAGUACGGUCGCAAGAUUAAAACUCAAAGGAAUUGACGGGGUCAUAGCUGUUUCCU